rnacentral:rRNA from 1 species
UAAGCGUUUGAGAGAUGGAGUGACACAGUAGGAUAAGCUAACCGUACUGUUGGUUAUGUACGGCUAAGCAUUGAGGCAGUCUAAAUAGGCAAAUCCGUUUAGACAAUGCUAGGAUGUGAUGGGGAAGCCCUUCGGGGCGAAGUAGCUGAUUUCACACUGUCAAGAAAAGCUUCUAUCGAGUUUAAAGGCGCCCGUACCGUAAACCGACACAGGUGGGUGAGGAGAGUAUCCUAAGGCCAGCGAGAGAACUAUUGUUAAGGAACUCGGCAAAAUGACCCCGUAACUUAGGGAGAAGGGGUGCCUGUCUAUGACAGGCCGCAGAGAAUAGGCCCAAGCGACUGUUUACCAAAAACACAGGUUUCUGCUAAGUCGCAAGACGAUGUAUAGGAGCUGACGCCUGCCCGGUGCUGGAAGGUUAAGGGGAUCUGUUAGAGCAAUCGAAGCAGUGAACUUAAGCCCCAGUAAACGGCGGCCGUAACUAUAACGGUCCUAAGGUAGCGAAAUUCCUUGUCGGGUAAGUUCCGACCCGCACGAAAGGCGUAACGAUUUGGGCACUGUCUCAACAACAGACUCGGUGAAAUUGUAAUACCGGUGAAGAUGCCGGUUACCUGCGACAGGACGGAAAGACCCCAUGGAGCUUUACUGUAGCUUGACAUUGAGUCUCGGUGCUACAUGUACAGGAUAGGUGGGAGACUAUGAAGCAUGGACGUCAGUCUGUGUGGAGUCAUCCUUGGGAUACCACCCUUGUAGUACUGGGAUUCUAACCAGAGGCCAUGAAUCUGGUCUUGGGACACUGUCAGGUGGACAGUUUGACUGGGGCGGUCGCCUCCCAAAAAGUAACGGAGGCGCUCAAAGGUUCUCUCAGUACGGUCGGAAAUCGUACGAAGAGUGUAAAGGCAAAAGAGAGCUUGAUUGCAAGACAUACAGGUCGAGCAAGGACGAAAGUCGGACUUAGUGAUCCGGUGGUUCCGCAUGGAAGGGCCAUCGCUCAACGGAUAAAAGCUACCCUGGGGAUAACAGGCUGAUCUCCCCCAAGAGUCCACAUCGACGGGGAGGUUUGGCACCUCGAUGUCGGCUCAUCACAUCCUGGGGCUGUAGUAGGUCCCAAGGGUUGGGCUGUUCGCCCAUUAAAGUGGUACGCGAGCUGGGUUCAGAACGUCGUGAGACAGUUCGGUCCCUAUCCGUCGCAGGCGUAGGAAAUUUGAGAAGACCUGUCCUUAGUACGAGAGGACCGGGAUGGACGUACCUCUGGUGUACCAGUUGUUCUGCCAAGGGCAUGGCUGGGUAGCUAUGUACGGAAUGGAUAAGCGCUGAAAGCAUCUAAGCGCGAAGCCAACUUCAAGAUAAGAUUUCCCACCGUAAGGGUAAGACCCCAGGAAGACUACCUGGUUGAUAGGUCGAAGGUGUAAGUGCAGUAAUGUAUUUAGCUUAUCGAUACUAAUAGGUCGAGGACUUGACC